CGUCUGUGAAAUAGAGCGCGCCACCUGCUGUCCGGAGUUCAUUUGAGCUUAGAGGUUAAAGUCGCUGUGCUCUUGAAAUCAAGACAUUUCCAGUCAACGACGAUUAUAAGUGAGGAGCUCCAGACAGUCACAGCAAACACCCUCCGCCCAGCCUCGUCUGCAGCUCACAGCUGAGUGUAGGAUGUUUACAGCGACUACACUGGAAGAUGAAAGUUUACCACACAACACUCACGACAGCUCAGCAGAUCCAGAUGCCACACCUGUCAACUCUUUAACACAAACAAACAAACAAAACAUGUACACUGUUCUUUCUUAAUAAUGUGUAAUUGGGUUAUGUAACAUUUAAGACGCAAUACUGUUUAAUUACACACACACACGUGAUAAAGUAAUACAAGGCGACAGAACUGGACGAUGACAGCAAACAUCCAACUGAAAGCUCGUUUUCCGCGUAGCACAGCUUCCAGUCGGGGAUGUUUACAGGCAUGAACAACCAGUUAUACCCAUAUACAGCACACACAACACAGAUAAUGCCAUACAAACAAACAUGUGUGAUGAUAAACUGACUGCAAAUCAAAUAAAUCAACGAAUAAAUAUCUAUGUGGUGGGUUUGCUGCCCCCUAGAGGUCAAAUGAGAAUUAAAAAUACAGCAAAAGCCGAGUUGAAAGUUAAAGGUCCUCUCUCCUUCACGUCAAUGACAAAGAGACCGCGAUGAGGAUGAAGACCUUGUAAAUCUGCAGUGUCUAUUCACACAUUUUAAUAACAACGACAACGUAAAAUGUGUGAGUCUACCCAAAAAAUAUCUUAAUAUUUAAGUUAUUAAAAAACAUCAACAACAGCUGGAUAAAGUGCAAUCUCUGCACAGGAGCAUCUCCAUAAAUAACAGCCAUAUGCAGCCCGAGUUGAAAUGUAAAAACACUCGUAUUUGCACACUGACAUUGGUUCAACCUUGUUUCUCUGCUUGGGAAAAAGAAUUGCGGGACGGUCUCGGCUACUAAAUACCGCACCGGAGGAGUUGUAAUAAUAAGAAGAACUUGUACUAAGUAAGCCUGUGUGUUGCUACCAGCUACCAAGUUGAGUGAAGAGGAAGCAAGCAGUCAAGCCGUAGCAGCUCUGCAUUUUUCCCGCACAAGAAGCGAUUUGAACGCGAGCAGGCGUCUAACACAACACUGAUAGUUAGCAAAAGUCAUUCUGCUUUUACUCGGAACAACACGGCACGGCUAACUAACGGUAGCUUUGCUCUACAGCUCUGCUCCAAUUUGCAGACAAAACUAGCAUGGACUGUCCUUCCCGCCGCACCAGUACCUCGUCACAUAUGGGUAUCCUGUUCGAAUUAAACAAAGCGCCGCCGUUCAAGAGAUAACGCGAUUAAACCACAAUUAUUACUGUGAUUUCCUCCGGCUUUUGCAGCAGAAAAAAAACCCUUUAGUCUCCGCCAUUCCGAGCCUGUUUCCUUCCGUCUCUGGCUUGUCUUUAGUUUGACCUUUAGUUACCCGACACUAAUAUUGACGUAAUUGUCAUGGUAACAGGAUCCCGCCUUCUACGUGCGGCCGUGUGCGUCCAUGAAAGUUGCUGAUGAUGGAGGAAAAAAGCCUGGAUUACAAGAAAUCUCUUGUCAUUGUGAUUAAAGAUAACAGCUUUAAUAUCAUCGAAACGAUGCGUCAUUGAUAUUCAAACUUUUUAUCAUCCCACUAAUACUUGUUUAAAUUAUUAAAACUAUGGAAAGCCUUUUAACGUUUGCUUUUAAUUCUCUAAUUUCAUGCUACUGGUAUUCUUUACUGAUACAUUUUCUUUUAAAUGGUUAUUUUGUUUCUAGUAGCCUACCUUUUACGUGAUAUUGGCACUUUUAAUUAGAUAUUAGGUGUCAUUGUUUUACUAAAAGACAAGUUAUCCAUUAGGUACUAUAUUAUGCACUAUUAAUCAUUAAUUUACUACUUGUUAUUGUAAUUCUUGUUUUAAGGCACUCGUGGUUAUUCAACAGUAGCUCUUAUUUAUU
rnacentral:lncRNA from 1 species